rnacentral:rRNA from 3 species
UUGACCUCGGAUCAGGUAGGGAUACCCGCUGAACUUAAGCAUAUCAAUAAGCGGAGGAAAAGAAACCAACAGGGAUUGCCCCCAGUAA